rnacentral:lncRNA from 1 species
CCAGUGGCCUUGAGUGGCCCGGGAUGGAAGACUGUUCGCAACAGAGAACCUGUCGCAUAUUCCAUAACAACUGUCCUGGCAAGACAAGGCAUGUGAGCCCCCAGGGACUUCUGGGCAAUUGGCCCUUCGAUGUACAGGUGGAUCACCCAUGGCGCCAGAUUGAGUGGCCCAGGAUGGAAGACCAUUGGCAUCGGAGACCCAUCACAUAUUCCAUGACUCCCAGCCUGGAAAGUCGAGGCCUACGAGCCGCCACGGGCCACUGGACACGCGGCCCUUGGUGGUACAGGUGGAACACCAAUGGCUGUGCAUUUGGAGCGAAGGACAACAGUGGCAGAUUUAUGGACCAUCCAACAGUUUUCCUCUCCCAUAAUCAGUUCCUCUCUGGCGGAAUUCCAGAUCCACAAGUGACUGGAAGUGAUGUUAGAGAGAAGGGAUAUUUUGCUGCUUGGAAUUCCACUGCCACCCCCAAAGAAGUGCUGUUUUCGUCACUUGUAUGAGCUCCUUUCUCUGGGAAAAUUCACAGCAUUGCUUUCUAGAGACUGACAUGUUCCAAAAACUAGGUUUCAUAUGAAUGAACUUAUUCCUUCCCCUUGAGAUGAGACAUAAAGAAAAAUGUUAGGAAUAAUUCUGCCUCCAUCCUCAAAGGCCUGUGUGAAUUCUCACAAAGACAGACAACAUCUGCAAAGGAAGGAUUAUCUGAGUGCAGCCUGCUGCUCCUGGUGCAACUGAUGUCAGCCUUGGUGCCGCAGCUGGGUAGACGGAAACUCAAGUCCUUUACAGCUUCCUUAUUUCCAGAAAGCUUUGGAGACAGACAACACCCCAGAGGAAGGAAGAUCUGAGCGUGGCCUGCUGCCCCUAGGGCAAUCGAUAUCAGCCUUGAUCCAGCCUUUGGUGUGGACAGAAACUCACAUCCUCUGGGGCAUCCUCCUUUCCAGAAAGCAUCAGAAUCAGACAUUCUGGAGAAGGCCUCACUGUAACCUGAACAAUUCAAGACAGACAACGUCCCCAGAGGAAGGAAGAUCUGAGUGUGGCUUGCUGCUCCUGGG